rnacentral:lncRNA from 1 species
CCUGGGAAGCCCCUCAGUGCUACUUUCCUAAUGGAAAGAGCUCAAAGGGAAUGGCUUCUGAGCCUUCACCACUGAGGACAGCAUGAAGCUAGCCACUUGCCACCUGGUUAUACCUGAAUAUGCUAAACCACGUUUAAAGAAGGGAGCUCCAGAAAGAUAUAUUGCAAGCCCCCAAGAAGGCAGACACAAAGGGAAAAGAAGUGCCACUUGAAGUUACUGUGUCAGCUGAAGACUCAAGCAUAAGAACAUAUAGUGCACCAUUCCCUACUCAUUGGAACACCU